rnacentral:rRNA from 1 species
GAUGAACGCUGGCGGCGUGCCUAAUACAUGCAAGUCGAGCGAACAGACGAGGAGCUUGCUCCUCUGACGUUAGCGGCGGACGGGUGAGUAACACGUGGAUACCCUACCUAUAAGACUGGGAUAACUUCGGGAAACCGGCGCUAAUACCGGAUAAUAUAUUGAACCGCAUGGUUCAAUAGUGAAAGACGGUUUUGCUGUAACUUAUAGAUGGAUCCGCGCCGCAUUAGCUAGUUGGUAAGGUAACGGGUUAUCAAGGCAACGAUGCGUAGCCGACCUGAGAGGGGGAUCGGCCACACUGGAACUGAGACACGGUCCAGACUCCUAAGGGAGGCAGCAGUAGGGAAUCUUCCGCAAUAGGCGAAAGCCUGACGGAGCAACGCCGCGUGAGUGAUGAAGGUCUUCGGAUCGUAAAACUCUGUUAUUAGGGAAGAACAGAUGUGUAAGUAACUAUGCACGUCUUGACGGUACCUAAUCAGAAAGCCACGGCUAACUACGUG